rnacentral:rRNA from 1 species
CACGUAGGGUGCGAGCGUUGUCCGGAAUUAUUGGGCGUAAAGAGCUCGUAGGCGGUGUGUCGCGUCGGCCGUGAAAACCCGCGGCUCAACCGCGGGCCUGCAGCCGAUACGGGCAGGCUAGAGUUCGGUAGGGGAGACUGGAAUUCCGUGGUGUAGCGGUGGAAUGCGCAGAUAUCAGGAGGAACACCAAUAGCGAAGGCAGCGUCGCUGGGACGGUAUUGACGCUAAGGCGCGAAAGCGUGGG